rnacentral:lncRNA from 1 species
GGUCUCUGCAUCUGUUUCUCUGAUGACAGCUAUGCUAAGCUCCUGCCUGGGUCCCUGGUGCUGGAGUGACCUCCAAGAAAGCAGCCAGAGUUGUGGACCAGAAUAUGGAGCCCAGGGGAUGGGGUUAUCGAGAAACAACAAAUAUUCCUGGCUACUCCUCAACUCACUGAGUGGAGAGGCAUUCUCCACUUCGGAGUAUGAAGAAGCUGUGGAUAAAAUUUCAGAAAUUUGUUCAUUCAAAAGAUAAAGGCUGAAAGAAAGGAAAUAAAAGGAAAAUGACAGAAAUGAAGAAAGGGAAUUCAUAGGAAAUCACCUUUUCAUAAUGCACUUCACGCUAGCAAAGAUAGUUGACUCUAAUGAACACAGUAAGGUAGCCAUGCUGUCUAGUUCCUUAACCCAGGCUUGAUUCAUCUGAGAGGAGGGAACUCCAAUUGAGAAAAUUCCACCACAAGAUUGGGCUGAAGGCAAGCUUGUAGGCAUUUUCUUACUUAGUGAUUGAUGGGGGAGGGCCCAGUCCAUUGUUGGU